AUUGAACGCUGGCGGAAUGCUUUACACAUGCAAGUCGAACGGUAGAGGGGGCAACCCCUCGAGAGUGGCGAACGGGUGAGUAAUAUAUCGGAACGUGCCCAGUCGUGGGGGAUAACGUAGCGAAAGUUACGCUAAUACCGCAUACGAUCUAAGGAUGAAAGCGGGGGAUCGCAAGACCUCGCGCGAUUGGAGCGGCCGAUAUCAGAUUAGGUAGUUGGUGGGGUAAAGGCUCACCAAGCCCACGAUCUGUAGCUGGUCUGAGAGGACGACAAGCCACACUGGAACUGAGACACGGUCCAGACUCCUACGGGAGGCAGCAGUGGGGAAUUUUGGACAAUGGACGCAAGUCUGAUCCAGCCAUUCCGCGUGCAGGAUGAAGGCCCUCGGGUUGUAAACUGCUUUUGUACGGAACGAAAAGGUCUCUCUUAAUACGGGGGGCUCAUGACGGUACCGUAAGAAUAAGCACCGGCUAACUACGUGCCAGCAGCCGCAGUAA
rnacentral:rRNA from 1 species